rnacentral:rRNA from 1 species
UUUGAUCCUGGCUCAGAACGAACGCUGGCGGCAGGCUUAACACAUGCAAGUCGAACGCUCCGCAAGGGGAGUGGCAGACGGGUGAGUAACGCGUGGGAACGUGCCCCAAGGUACGGAACAACUCCGGGAAACUGGAGCUAAUACCGUAUGUGCCCGAGAGGGGAAAGAUUUAUCGCCUUGGGAUCGGCCCGCGUCUGAUUAGCUAGUUGGUAGGGUAAAGGCCUACCAAGGCUACGAUCAGUAGCUGGUCUGAGAGGAUGGCCAGCCACACUGGGACUGAGACACGGCCCAGACUCCUACGGGAGGCAGCAGUGGGGAAUAUUGGACAAUGGGCGAAAGCCUGAUCCAGCCAUGCCGCGUGAGUGAUGAAGGCCUUAGGGUUGUAAAGCUCUUUCGGCGGGGACGAUAAUGACGGUACCCGCAGAAGAAGCCCCGGCUAACUUCGUGCCAGCAGCCGCGGUAAUACGAA